UUCAUAUCAAAGAAAAUCAGCAUUGG
rnacentral:piRNA from 1 species